rnacentral:lncRNA from 1 species
AAUAAUCUAAAGGCGAGUAAUAGGAGACAAUUAAAAUAAUUCAUCCUAACCCAUAUAAAUAAUUAGAUUUCAUCUAAUUACUCAACAUGGCUUAUGCACUUUUCAAAAACUUGGCCCUUGCCAAAAAUCCAUUCUCGGGGAUACCCCGCGAAGGCAUCUUACCGAGACCGCCAAGGCUGUUUAUUGUCACACACACAAACACAUUUCACCUCUCACAACAC